AAAGCAUGGGGAGCGAGCAGGAUUAUAUACCCUGGUAGUGCAUGCGGUAAACGUUGGGCACUAGGGGUGGGGACCAUUCCACGGUUUCUGCGCCGCAGAUAACACAUUAAGUGCCCCGCCUGGGGAGUACGGCCGCAAGGCUAAAACUCAAAGGAAUUGACGGGGGCCCGCACAAGCGGCGGAGCAUGCGGAUUAAUUUGAUGCAACGCGAAGAACCUUACCAAGGCUUGACAUGUUCUCGAUCACAGUAGAGAUACGGUUUCCCCUUUGGGGCGGGAUCACAGGUGGUGCAUGGUUGUCGUCAGCUCGUGUCGUGAGAUGUUGGGUUAAGUCCCGCAACGAGCGCAACCCUCGUUCCAUGUUGCCAGCACGUAAUGGUGGGGACUCAUGGGAGACUGCCGGGGUCAACUCGGAGGAAGGUGGGGACGACGUCAAAUCAUCAUGCCCCUUAUGUCUUGGGCUUCACGCAUGCUACAAUGGCCGGUACAAUGGGUUGCGAUACUGUGAGGUGGAGCUAAUCCCAAAAAGCCGGUCUCAGUUCGGAUUGGGGUCUGCAACUCGACCCCAUGAAGUCGGAGUCGCUAGUAAUCGCAGAUCAGCAACGCUGCGGUGAAUACGUUCCCGGGCCUUGUACACACCGCCCGUCAAGUCACGAAAGUCGGUAACACCCGAAGCCGGUGGCCUAACCCUUGUGGGGGAGCCGUCGAAGGGGACCCCGCG
rnacentral:rRNA from 1 species